GAUUUCUGGCCUGAAACAUUUUGCCAGCCACGGUUUCGUGUGUUAGUGCUUGAUGUUCUGGCCAUCCUUUCAAUUGCUGUUCACCUUUCUUCAUUGAUUGGUGAGUGGUGUUGAAUCUUUUACUUUGAAAAAAUUAGAGUGUUUCAAGCAGGCUUUAUGCUAUGAAUACAUUAGCAUGGAAUAAUAAUUUAGGACUUCGGUUCUAUUUUGUUGGUUUCUAGGACUGAAGUAAUGAUUGAUAGGGAUAGUUGGGGGUGCUAGUAUUCAGCGGCCAGAGGUGAAAUUCUCGGAUUCGCUGAAGACUAACUUAUGCGAAAGCAUU
rnacentral:rRNA from 1 species